rnacentral:rRNA from 1 species
UACGUAGGGGGCUAGCGUUGUCCGGAAUCAUUGGGCGUAAAGAGCGUGUAGGCGGUCCGGUAAGUCCGCUGUGAAAGUCGGGGGCUCAACCCUCGAAUGCCGGUGGAUACUGUCGGGCUAGAGUGCGGAAGAGGCGAGUGGAAUUCCUGGUGUAGCGGUGAAAUGCGUAGAUAUCUGGAGGAACACCGGUGGCGAAGGCGGCAUCCUGGACCGACACUGACGCUGAUGAGCGAAAGCCAGGGGAGCAAACGGG